GCCCAGGUGGCGGAAUUGGUAGACGCGCACGACUCAAACUCGUGUACCACUGGUGUGCGGGUUCGACUCCCGCCCUGGGCACAA
rnacentral:tRNA from 1 species